rnacentral:sRNA from 1 species
GUACGACUAUGACCUCAACGACGCUGUGGCACGCAGGAACCAUAUACCCGUUUCCAGCGGGAAGCACUGCGGGAUCAUCCUUCAACGGUGAGUAACACUUUUUUCAUUCUAAGUUAGUUAUACUAUUUAUGGGCUGCUCGAAUCCAACUGGAGGCCAAAGAAUCACACAGCUUCGCAUGGUUUCGCAUUGCAUCGUCGUCACGCUUUCCUUGUUGCAUGCGCGCCCACGGAACCACGAGUGGCCGGAGCGCGUGGAUUCCCGCCACCGCUGUCUAUAUAAUGCUCGCUGAUAUCCGUAGAUUACAGGAGAUCAGCGAUUAGCUUUGAUUAACAGAGAUAGCUACCUUCCAAUAUUGUUCGUGCGUACUUCACACUACCUUGCAGGACGCCCAAUUUCUUCAUCCACCUGGAAGGUC